rnacentral:piRNA from 1 species
GGGACUUCUCUCCGCAGAUGACU